rnacentral:rRNA from 1 species
UACAGAGGGUGCGAGCGUUAAUCGGAAUUACUGGGCGUAAAGCGUGCGUAGACGGUUAUUUAAGUCAGGUGUGAAAGCCCCGGGCUCAACCUGGGAAUUGCAUUUGAGACUGAAUAGCUAGGGUGCGGAAGAGGGAAGCGGAAUUUCCGGUGUAGCGGUGAAAUGCGUAGAUAUCGGAAGGAACACCAGUGGCGAAAGCGGCUUCCUGGUCCAGCACCGACGUUCAGGCACGAAAGCGUGGGGAGCAAACAGG